CACACACAGUAUUUUAUUCUGUGUGUUACAUGGUGAAGUUGUUGAAAUAAGAAGGCUAAUAUCACACAGCUAUGGAAAGAUGGGUGGGAAUCCUAAUUCUUAAUUUGGAGGUAAAGAAGAAUGGGACUUGGAUAGAAACACCCUGCUUGGUUGUUCACUGCAAGCAAGUCAAAGACAGAAUACAUCUGCAGAAGUGGUUGCAUAUGGAUAAACAAAAUGCAUAGCCUUACCCUCUGUGUGAUUUUCUCUGACCUCAGCCAAGCAACAGUGCAUUUAAACACUGUUACAGGAGCUUUGUGUUGUACCAGUCAAUUUCUGCAGAUGAAGACUCAACAACAGUGCUAGAAAAACAACUAAUGCUUACUAAUGUCCUAAAAGGUUUUACUCUAGUCAUCCCACUCUCUCUUUGAGACUGACUUGAGAGGAGUAAGUCAAUCAAACCCUUGCACAGGGAGGCAAACAUUUGUAAAAACAUGAGAAAUAAAGUGCUGUACUGUGUCCAGUUCUAGGAUCCCCAGUUCAAAAAAGAUGAGAACUACUGGAUAGAGUCCAGCAGAGAGCGACAAAGAUAUUUGGAGCCUGGAGCAUCUCUCUUGAGAAAAGGCUGAGAGACCUGGAACUGCUCAGCGUGGAGAAGACUGAUGCUUAAGAAUAAUAAUGCUUAAAAAUAUCUAGGGGGUGGGAGUCAAAUGGAUGGAGUCAAACAUCAAAACGGCAAGGCCAGGCUCUUUUCAGUGGUGCCUAGUGACAGGGCAAGGGGCAAUGGGCACAAACUAAAACGUAUGACAUUCCAUAUGAACAUGAGGAAGAACUUCUUUACUGUGUGGGUGACAGAGCACUGGGACAGGCUGCCCAGAGAGGUUGUGGAGUCUCCUUCUCUGGAGAUAUUCAAAACCUGCCUGGACACUUUCUUGUGCAAACUACUGCAGGGAAUUUGCUUUAGCAGAGCUGCUGGACUAGGUGAUCUCCUGACGUCCCUUUCAACACCUAUGAUUCUGUGAUUCAGGUGACACGGCUGCUUGUUGGAUAAAGUCACGGCAAUCCUCUGAUACUUUAUGAGAAAACAGUGCUGGAACACUCACUGGAGAUGAUCACAUAACUGAAUAAGAUUUUUGUUCGACUGUUGUUUGUUUAUGAACUCAUAUUGCAAGAUGUCAACAGUUAAUAAUCAUAUAAAAGCACUUUAAAUUAUUUGAGACUAAUUAUGGUUUUAAUGCCUCACCUUGAUUGAAGUUAAUAAAAUCCAGCAUUCUGAAGAGAACCAUAUUCAGAAUUCCCUUUUAAUGUAAGACUGAAAGUGAUAUUCUUUAUUUCUUACAAUACAGAGAUACGGGUUUGGAACGGGGAUGGAUUUGUAAUAUUACUGAAAAAUGUGUUUUCCAACUUGAGAUGUUUUAUUUUUGCCACCUUAGUAGGAGAGUGAUUGGCUGAAGCUCCCCACUUCUCUAGCUCUAAG
ensembl:lncRNA